GCACUUUGGCAGCACAUAUAGUAAAACUGGAACAGUAUAGAGGAUAUUAGCAUGGCUGCUGUGUAAAGAUAACACACAAUUAAUGAAGCAACCCAACAAACAU
rnacentral:snRNA from 1 species